rnacentral:rRNA from 1 species
ACGGGGUGCAGCAGGCGCGAAAACUUUACAAUGCGGGAAACCGUGAUAAGGGAACACCGAGUGCCAGCAUCAUAUGCUGGCUGUCCAGAUGUGUAAACUACAUCUGUUAGCAAGGGCCGGGCAAGACCGGUGCCAGCCGCCGCGGUAACACCGGCGGCCCGAGUGGUGACCGUUAUUAUUGGGUCUAAAGGGUCCGUAGCCGGUUUGGUCAGUCCUCCGGGAAAUCUGAUAGCUUAACUGUUAGGCUCUCGGGGGAUACUGCCAGGCUUGGAACCGGGAGAGGUAAGAGGUACUACAGGGGUAGGAGUGAAAUCUUGUAAUCCCUGUGAGACCACCUGUGGCGAAGGCGUCUUACCAGAACGGGUUCGACGGUGAGGGACGAAAGCUGGGGGCACGAACCGGAUUAGAUACCCCUGUAGUCC